UGGAUCCAGACUUUGAUUCUGGCUCAGGAUGAACGCUAGCUACAGGCUUAACACAUGCAAGUCGAGGGGCAUCGGGAAGAAAGCUUGCUUUCUUUGCCGGCGACCGGCGCACGGGUGAGUAACACGUAUCCAACCUGCCCUUUACUCGGGGAUAGCCUUUCGAAAGAAAGAUUAAUACCCGAUAGCAUAAUGAUACCGCAUGGUUUCAUUAUUAAAGGAUUCCGGUAAAGGAUGGGGAUGCGUUCCAUUAGGUUGUUGGUGGGGUAACGGCCCACCAAGCCUUCGAUGGAUAGGGGUUCUGAGAGGAAGGUCCCCCACAUUGGAACUGAGACACGGUCCAAACUCCUACGGGAGGCAGCAGUGAGGAAUAUUGGUCAAUGGGCGCUGGCCUGAACCAGCCAAGUAGCGUGAAGGAUGAAGGCUCUAUGGGUCGUAAACUUCUUUUAUAUAAGAAUAAAGUGCAGUAUGUAUACUGUUUUGUAUGUAUUAUAUGAAUAAGGAUCGGCUAACUCCGUGCCAGCAGCCGCGGUAAUACGGAGGAUCCGAGCGUUAUCCGGAUUUAUUGGGUUUAAAGGGAGCGUAGGUGGACUGGUAAGUCAGUUGUGAAAGUUUGCGGCUCAACCGUAAAAUUGCAGUUGAUACUGUCAGUCUUGAGUACAGUAGAGGUGGGCGGAAUUCGUGGUGUAGCGGUGAAAUGCUUAGAUAUCACGAAGAACUCCGAUUGCGAAGGCAGCUCACUGGACUGCAACUGACACUGAUGCUCGAAAGUGUGGGUAUCAAACAGGAUUAGAUACCCUGGUAGUCCACACAGUAAACGAUGAAUACUCGCUGUUUGCGAUAUACAGUAAGCGGCCAAGCGAAAGCAUUAAGUAUUCCACCUGGGGAGUACGCCGGCAACGGUGCAACUCAAAGGAAUUGACGGA
rnacentral:rRNA from 1 species